rnacentral:tRNA from 1 species
ACCUUCAUUGGUGUAGUGGUCAGCACACUCGGCAUAUAUUCGAGAGGUCCGCGGUUCGAGUCCCGGCGACGGCA